rnacentral:rRNA from 1 species
AUUGAACGCUGGCGGCAGGCCUAACACAUGCAAGUCGAGCGGAUGAAGGGAGCUUGCUCCUGGAUUCAGCGGCGGACGGGUGAGUAAUGCCUAGGAAUCUGCCUGGUAGUGGGGGAUAACGUCCGGAAACGGGCGCUAAUACCGCAUACGUCCUGAGGGAGAAAGUGGGGGAUCUUCGGACCUCACGCUAUCAGAUGAGCCUAGGUCGGAUUAGCUAGUUGGUGGGGUAAAGGCCUACCAAGGCGACGAUCCGUAACUGGUCUGAGAGGAUGAUCAGUCACACUGGCACUGAGAAACGGUCCAGACUCCUACGGGAGGCAGCAGUGGGGAAUAUUGGACGAUGGGCGAAAGCCUGAUCCAGCCAUGCCGCGUGUGUGAAGAAGGUCUUCGGAUUGUAAAGCACUUUAAGUUGGGAGGAAGGGCAGUAAGUUAAUACCUUGCUGUUUUGACGUUACCAACAGAAUAAGCACCGGCUAACUUCGUG